rnacentral:lncRNA from 1 species
AUGGGGGACCCACAGAAGGCAAGGAAAGAUUCCCCACAGCCAAGAAGGAACAGGUGCCGCAACACCUGGGUCUUAUCUCCAUGUGGAUCUAAGGCACUACGGCCUGGGAACAUCUGCCCUGGUGAUAAUAUUGGGAUUACAGGUAAUCAGCAAAGUGAGCUCCCGUUUGCAGCACUUGCUGACUUCUGCGGUGUGAGUAUGCCGUUGAUGUCACUGGAGGUCGGCUUGGAGAGCGAGCACAUUAUUGUAGUGUCUCCAUCAUGCAAAUAUGCUGUCUGUGGAAGAGCUUGGGAAGACGUGAGAAGGUGGGUUUGGGCCUGUACUGGCAUUUAGCCUUGGUCCAACCUAAAGAGAAUGGCGUGGCAACACAAGGAUGCUCCCUGCAAGACACUGUGAGCCGACUCCAGUCAUGAAGCUUGCUGCUGUGGGUUGCAGACAGCUGCAACCCCUUUGCUUCUUGGAGGUCUCAAGUACACAAAAAGUGCUCCUUUCAGAAGAGGCUGCUGGGUCUGUCUCCUGUAACCUUGGUUCAAUUUGCACAUGAUCGUCUCCUCUAUUAGACACUUUAAAGCUCAGUUCUUGCCUUGUAACUUGUUUCUGCUGUGUGCCUUCCUAAUAGUCAGGCCUCUUCUUUUUUCAGUGUAUAGAAAAUUACUUUCCUGUACAUGUACAAUCCCUAAGGUCUGGAUCCUUCUAUUGCCCUAGCUAGUGGGGACCAGCUAAUGUAUACUAGACGGUGUUCUGUAAAACAGGUCAGUUUGCACGUCCAGUUCUGUAUAAAGUCAAGUUUAAGUUUGUGUGUGUAAAUGUGCACUGCUUCUGUUUUCUCCCUCUCCGACCCAGACCACUAAGCCACCAUCUGCCUACCGUGUGCCUCUACUUCC